rnacentral:tRNA from 1 species
GUUCUUUUAGUAUCAAUCAGUACAGCUGACUUCCAAUCAGCCAGUCUUGGAAAGCCCCAAGAAAGAAUA